AUGGCCUGGUUGUUAUCAUCGCAGUCUGGCAACGGUGGUGCGCUAACUUGCUUCCGGCUCCGACGAGACGGCAGGGUUGUUUUCCUAUCGGCUACCACUCUUAGCAGGUGCCCUCCACUUCCAUGGAUGACAUCGACGAGGUGGACACAUGACCAAGCUGAGGAGGACAUCGUCGGGUCUGACCUCAACCUCUACUAUGAGGUCGUCCAGCAGGACUCCCCACAGACGGCUGAUCCCUCUCGACGGAAUGCAUCAUCCAUGGAAGUUGAGAAUACCAGGAAGGAGAUGGCCAUGCCGAGUGAGGAGCAACCAGCUAUGAGGCCUCAUGUGUGA
rnacentral:rRNA from 1 species